UCUGCGCUGUGUGUCGAUGCACCUUACGAGAGAAAAAGACCAGCAAGCAAGGCAACUGCAAUGAAGCAUCAAGAAAGACAUGGACAUGCCAGCCACCCCGAGACUGAUAAUUCAUGAGAAGACAUUUCUGUCAAAGUGGAUGGUGAGCAAAGAUGGUGGCCACGUUUUGGAGCAGCACCUGGGUUUUGCAGAUGGCUAUGUAUUCUUUGGCUGCUUGUCUUUAUGUUUCUGUUGCCUAAAGAUUCUUUGUGAGGAUAAAUCACAACAAAAUGCACUGCAAACCGUCCUAAGA